AUCCUACAUACACCUGAGGACAUACCUAGAAGUCCAUGCUAGAAUAAUCCCCAUUGUGCAUGUUGGGAGACAGACAGCCCCUGAAAGGCACAAUGACUUAUCCAGGAUCAAGAACAGGUAUGAAUGAGGAGUUGAGUCUGAACUCAGGUCUGUCUCCUCAAAGCUGGGACCCUGGCAGCACCCAGGGCCUCGUGGAGAGGAGUGUGUUGGUGUAACAUGGAGAAGGGGGGUGAGCAGUCAGCAGCCCAGAGGGCUGUUUGGAUAGGUGUCUGAGAAGGGGACUCAGGUAAGGGGAUCCCAAAGUGAAGUCAUUUCCUUGGCAAUAGACUCCCACAGAACUUGGAAGCUCUGUAACCAGGCACCCACAUUCCAGUGACAGUCCCAUUCCUAGCCCACUUGGCCAGAGACACUUCAGUUAGAAAUGUGUUCUCUGCUGGGCCCCUACUUAACGGGGCUCUUGCUUCGGGAAAGCCUGGAGUGAGAGUCUUUUCAGAAGCUGCAGACAUUGGUUCAACCCUCGACCCAGACACCUCUGGCCAUUUGCCAGGAGGUCCCCUAGGGUAACACAAGGCAGCCUAGGGCAGGCCAAUCCAGGCCAGGCCACCUCUGAGCACUCCCUGGGCGGCCCCACAUCCCCUCCUCUUCAGCGUCGGGGGAAGAGGGACAUGAAGGGAGGGCACACCCUGGGAAGUGAUACCUGGUGGCCCUGAGUGGUCACACUGCUGGACUGGCACGGUGGCAAGGGGAUUGCGGAGGUGUCUCUUAUCUGUGCCUGUGUGAAUCCAAGGCCCUCAGGCUGUCAUCUUUUCUGUCUCCUUGGGGGAGGUCUGUGCAGAGUGUGGUGUGUGUGUGUGUCUGAAGUGGAGACAUCUCGUGGUCUGAGAAGCAGCAAAGAGCCAGCCGGUCUGAGGCUUCUGCCUGGCUGCCGGGCACUGCCUUUCCAGAGCUCCACCCAGGAGGUGGGGCAGGCUCCUGAUCAGUGGGGUCCUCUACUCCAUCUCCCUGCAGGGGUGCAGGUGCCCCACACCUGCCACAAAGUCUGGCGCUGGCUCAUGAUUUUCCUGUUUUAACUCCUGUCCGCAGGUGUCCAUGUUGGCCUGUCAAGCCUUCCACACCUUCUCCAGGUCUUACACAUCAUCAAAACCACAUGGGCUCAUGGUACUAUGUCUGUUUCUCUGCAACUUAUCGUCUCAAGGAGCUCAUCCCCGUGGCCCCUCCAGGUCGGGGGCUGGGCUCACUUGGCUGCACAACAUUCCAGAAGGGAGACCAGGUACCACAGCGAGUCAGCCCUUCACUGAUGGGGGAGCUUGACCUGGUUCCCAUCUCUCGCCAUUUCAACAUGCCGCAUGACCAUCCUACAUGUCUUAACAUCCUGAUCCCUCCCACCCCAGGAUAAGCCUCUGUGUUCUCAUCUCUAGAAUGGGAUGUUAUAUCAGGGAUCACAGGGGUGGUGCAGGUGGUACAGAGAGGUGCUGUCAAUACUCUGCUAACAAAACAACCUUAGAUACUAAUGUAUUUAACCCUUCCCCACCUCAAAUUCUACUUUAAUACCAAGAACCCUUUUUCUGCUGAGGGCACUCAUUUCCCACCUCCUGCCACAGGUCACCUGGUUUGGAGAUUUGUUCUGAGCUCCUACCUGACUCCUGGUGUCCACAGUGCUGCUCUGGCUGCAUAUCCUUCCUCUGUCCCACCCCAUGGUGAAAAUGUGUCCACAGUGAACAGGAAUGAGACCUGCAUGGUGUGGACCGUCCAGGGAGGCAGGCCGGAAAAGCAGGUGGAGACCUGGUGCCUGUCUUCCUGGGCAGUGAUCCCUCAUACGUGCCCACCUUCCUGGGUACCUGCAGAGCUUUUGCCACCAACCAAUAGCACUUGACCUGCUGUUCAAAAGUGAGCACUUUGCCCCUUCAUGGGACACUGGUGAUUCAACCAUCUACGAGCUGUGAGCCUUCAGAAUGCCACUGCACCUCUCUGAGCCUCAGUUUGCUGCUCUGAACAGUAGGGCGAAUAGAGGAUCAAUAUCAUUGGGUUAUUGUAGGGACUAAGUGGGUCCUCCCUGGAAAGUGCUGUCUGAGUGCCUGGCCCUGUGGACCAGGACCUGUUGCAGGGCCUGUGGUUGUGCUAAUUUAUCAUUUUCCUCAUUCCCAUGAGGAAGCCUCUGCCUCAUUCAUCACUCUCCCCGUGGCCUUGGGCUGAGCUGUUUUCCCACUUGAAAAGGUGAUUGAGAUUCCCUCAGUGGGUCCUUGUUUGGACGAAGCCAGACAAAGGGUUCUUGCAGGUGAGCAGUGGGUCCCCAGGCCCACUCAGUUAUCUCUGAUGAGGCCCGUUGGAGUUCAUUCAUUUAUCAAAAAUAUAACAAGCCCCACUAGGUGCAGGACAUUUCUAGAACUGACUAUAAGCCAGUGCAGAGAGCAGACCAUAAUUCUGCCCUCCAGAGUUUCCAUUCUAGUUGGGAGUCAGAAUGUUACACUAGACGUCAAAAGCAGGUAGUGUCCACAGCACAGUCAAUGUGAUGCCCUCCUGGCCUCCUCUAGAUGUGGAUGCAUCCUCCCUUACUCUGAUGAGGAUGGCAGACCCCUAGACCAACUGAAAAAGUAAGUGGGCUUUGGUUCAAGAAGCAGCAACUCCCUUCUCCAACAAACUGCGUGGAGUUGUAGGGUUCUGUGGAUGGGGAAGGGCUGGCAGAGUACUGAAUUCCACACAUCUUAUGAUUCCUGCUUGAGGGCCAAGGUCUGAGGACUCCUCCUGGCAAAGAAGAUAGAAGUCAAAGAGAGCUGUGGGUGGGGCUGUGGGUACUGUGGGGAGCACCAGAAAGAUCAGAGGACAGAGUCAGCCCCUGAAAGAAUCCAUACCUGUCCCCUCCCCAUCCCAGCCCUGCAUUAACCCCCACCCGAGGACUCAGAACAGGAGGUGUGGAGAGCAUCCUGCUCGUGAAUCUGGUGGAACCUCAACAGUGGGUGCUCAGCUGUUGCUCAGGGUACUCAGUGAGAGCUCAGGGGCUGGCUGAACCCACACUGUGGAAGAUGAGUGGCAGUGGCAGGAGGAGACCCACAUGGAGCAUCUAGAGAAUUAGGCAGCAGGUAGAUACAGGAGGUAAAGUUUGAGAUAUUAGGAAAGCCCUGGGAAUCCUGGGCAGGAGACAGAGUCUGUUUGUUCCCUUAUUGGUCAGAUACUCAUGGAGAACUGACUGUGUCAGCAAGUGCAGUGAAUGAGCAGACAUCUCUCCCUGUCCUCAUGGAGUUGACGUACCAGUGGGGAGUGUCGGGGAGACAGAUAGACCAGUGUGUCAGGCUUCCCUGAAGAAGAAGAGAGGUAAUCACACCAUUGAUCAAGGGCUCUCAAUAUGAAGACUUUUUGCCAGCCCCUCCUUGGUGACCAGGCCUGCCUCUGCCAGGGCUGCCAGAAGUGAGUUGGACAUGGACUAGGCCUCUGGGUGGACAGGAACAGAAGGACAGAGGCCCAGAUCCCCACAGGGAUGCCCUGGGAGGGCUGUGUGGAAGGAAAGGCCAGGCUUCUGACUCUGCUGCCCACCCAACUAGCCCCCGGGCCAUAAUCUCCAUCCUGGGCACCUGAUUGGACCAGGACUCUAAGGAUUUUCACCAGCCCCCAGAAUUUCCCUACCUGAAGAUGCUAUUGUCCUAUGUAGAGCUCAACAUGCCCUGCUUGGACCUAGAGUGCCAUGCCUACCUCCUCCUGGCAAAAACCUAGAGCUUCAUGAGUCCAUUGAUGCCAAGGGUAAGGAGGACUGAGGGUGAGGAGACUUGAGUGAUGUGGGCUGUGGGGAGGGGAGAGUGUUGGGUCACACAAAGCUGAGCCUCCAGAGGCUGAGGUUGGGCGAGGAGCAAUGAGUAGCCUCAGAUCACUAUUCACCUGGACUGCAGUCUGGGAAGACCUCCUGGGGGUGCGUUCUUGGACAGAGACUUCAGUAACUGGCAGUGAGAGAUUUCCUGUCUUUGGAGGGCACAUGGAAAGGUAAUCAUGUGGAUGGUAUUUUCUUUUCUUGGAGCUACAGCACCAGCUCCACAACAAGCCCUAGAACCACUUCAAGAGCUAGCACCAGCUCCAACUCAACUGCCCACUACAGCUCCAGAGCCAGAUCAGACUCAGGCCCAGUUUUCGUUUAAGCUCUAGAGCUAGAAGAAGCAUGUACGCAGGCUCCAAUUCCAGAGCCAGAGGAAUUCAAGCAACAGCUCUCACCCAAGCUCCAUAGCUAGAACCAUCACAAAAACCUGUUCUAGUAUUUGCUCCAGAACUCUAGCCACUUCCGUCCAUAGCCUCGAUUCCAGAGCUUAAGCCUACACCAGCAAGAGCCCUACCAUUAGUUCUUGAGCUCCAUAGUGCUUUGGCACAGCUCCAGCUCCAGAGCGUAAUCUGGUUCCAGCUCUAGAUCUAGAGACAACAAUAGACCCAGUUCUUAUAGUUACUCCAGUGCCAGAUCCAGUUCCUCCCCCAGUAUACUAGAGCUGGUACCAGCUCAACAACUAGCACCAGCCCCUGCAGCAUCUCCAGGUCCCGGUCCUUAGCUGCAACUAGUGCCAGCUGCAGCCCCAGAGACUUCCUUCCCCUCCCCUAUAAUUCCACUUUUUAAAAUUUUGUUUUUUUCUUAUAUAUACUCAAUAUUUUACUCUAUUCUAGUGUAUAAAAUUCCCUUAAAAUAAAAUUUACCUCUUUGAUCGUUUUAAGUUGUACACUUACGUGGCAUUAAGUACAUUCACAGUGUUGCACAAGCCCCUUUGCUAUCUGUUCCAGGACAUUUUCAUCAAAGAGAAGCCCUGUCUAUACUAGUCGGUCACUCCUCACUCUCCUCAUCCCAGCCCCUGGCACCAACUGAUCUUCUUUAUCGCUG
ensembl:lncRNA